AUUUAAAUAGCUUAUGUAGAGCAUAGCCUUGAAGCUGCUAGGGAGAUUUAUAUCUUUAAAUA
rnacentral:tRNA from 1 species